UACGGGGGGGGCAAGCGUUGUUCGGAAUUACUGGGCGUAAAGGGCGUGCAGGCGGUUUGUUUAGUCUAGGGUGAAAGCUCCCGGCUUAACUGGGAGAGGUCCUUGGAUACUGGCAAACUUGAGGGAGGCAGAGGAAAGUGGAAUUCCCGGUGUAGUGGUGAUAUGCGUAGAUAUCGGGAGGAACACCAGUGGCGAAGGCGACUACCUGGCCUGUUUCUUGACGCUGAGGCGCGAAAGCUAGGGGAGCAAACGGG
rnacentral:rRNA from 1 species